UACGAAGGGGGCUAGCGUUGUUCGGAAUUACUGGGCGUAAAGCGCGCGCAGGUGGCUAUCCAAGUCAGUGGUGAAAGCCCGGAGCUCAACUCCGGAACUGCCAUUGAAACUGUUUAGCUUGAGGACGAGAGAGGUGAGUGGAAUUCCCAGUGUAGAGGUGAAAUUCGUAGAUAUUGGGAAGAACACCGGUGGCGAAGGCGGCUCACUGGCUCGUUUCUGACGCUCAGGCGCGACAGCGUGGGGAUCAAACAGG
rnacentral:rRNA from 1 species